AUGCACGCUAGCUACAGGCUUAACCCCUGCCAGUCGAGGGGAAACGACAUCGAAAGCUUGCUUUUGAUGGGCGUCGACCGGCGCACGGGUGAGUAACGCGUAUCCAACCUGCCCAUCACUUGGGAAUAACCUUGCGAAAGUAAGACUAAUACCCAAUGACAUCCCACGAAGACAUCUGAAUGGGAUUAAAGAUUUAUCGGUGAUGGAUGGGGAUGCGUCUGAUUAGCUUGUUGGCGGGGUAACGGCCCACCAAGGCAACGAUCAGUAGGGGUUCUGAGAGGAAGGUCCCCCACAUUGGAACUGAGACACGGUCCAAACUCCUACGGGAGGCAGCAGUGAGGAAUAUUGGUCAAUGGGCGAGAGCCUGAACCAGCCAAGUAGCGUGCAGGAGGACGGCCCUAUGGGUUGUAAACUGCUUUUAUAAGGGAAUAAAGUGGGUCUCGUGAGACUUUUAGCAUGUACCUUAUGAAUAAGGACCGGCUAAUUCCGUG
rnacentral:rRNA from 1 species